rnacentral:lncRNA from 1 species
UGAUAUAGUUGAUUAGGGUCAGAGGUUGUUGUGAAAUUACGAGCAAUUUUUAGAACAGGUGGAGGUUGAGAGGUUCUGAUGGUUGAAGGAGGGAUUUCAGAGGUUGUAAAUAAUGGAGGUGUUGGGAGAGGAGUAGAAGAGGCCAUCAUAGGUAUUACAGAAGUAACAGGAGGAAUAGACUUACCAGAAGAAGAGAUUUUCAG